rnacentral:tRNA from 1 species
GAGUUAAUUUAUGAGUUUUGAAAACUUUUUUUAGAUUUUUUGUCUUUAACUUU